GCGGCGUCCAUUUCCGGAUGCCGGCGGACGAGGGAGCAGUACCCGCACAGACAAGACUGACUCGC
ncrna:Mycolicibacterium gilvum PYR-GCK ykkC-III RNA